UCCCACUCUUCAUCAGCAGUAAGGAGAUGGUUAGAAACCAAUUGAUCAAAAGCUUCAUAACAUUUAGCAUCAACCAUUAACGCUUCUUUGUAACACUCCUUAGCUCGAUCAAAGUUGCUCAGGUUUGUGUAAACUUGGCCGCGAAGAUAGCACAUCGAAGCUUCUAGUUUUAUACCGCCAUCUUGCAUGAGCAGUUUAUUAGCAUUCUUUUCAUCUUUACGAAAAGGGUUAGUUUCACCUAAAAGAUUAAGUGCUCCUUGCCAGUCAUAUAGUUUUACUAAGCAAAAGGCAGCAAGGUAUCGACAAGCAGAGCUUCGAUUAUACAAGUCUUCUUUAGUCAAAAGACAUUUUGCCCUGGCAUAGUCUCCAGUACAGCAAUAUACCUGUGCAAGCCAAAAUGCAUCAUUUGGAUUCCCAGUUAUGUCUAAAACCUUUUCUCCUACAAAUGCAGCACAUUUAUACUGUUGUUGCAUCAGUGCAUCAUGCCUCCACAGUCUCAAGUAAUCUUCUCUAGACAAUGAAUCUGUGUUUUGAGCAUUCCUUUCUUUUAAAAAGGAUCCAUCUGUCGAUGUAUUAUUAGCUAAAUAAGUCAUGGGACUUAUUGUCAAAGUUGACAAUUGUGAAUUGGAAUUAUUCGCAUUCAAAGCACCCAUAGAAGGAGGUGUCAUAUAAGCUGCAUUUGCAUGUGCAUCUGGAUGAUUAUGAUUACCAGGAGUAGACUGCAUUCGAGAGUCAGUUUGCGUUCGUUUAACGACCAUUACAAUCUGAAGGGUAUGUUUACUUCGCUAAUGAUGUUGUUGACUGACUUGUAUUUAGCCAAGAUUUAGCACUCGUUAAGUCACCGCAUUCUACACAUCAAGAAACAUGUCACCUAAAUUGCUAUGUUAAAUAAAUAAAUUUUAAAUUCGAAAUUAAUGGUAAUUUGGGAAGAUAGAAUUUUCUUUUUAAAUGAAGCAACUAUUUAAAACUCUAAACCCCAAGGACUUUUCAAAUACAUUGCUCUACAUGAAUGGCGAUAUGAUGCCUAAAGAUUCAAUUAUAAUUUAUCCCAAAAUCCAAAAAUUAAUAUUAAGCAAAAUCUGAAUAAAUUCUACAAAUAUAGUGAUGCACUAAAAACAAUAUCCCGAUGUAUGCAUGCGAUAGUGUCUUCCAUUUUUUGCUGCAAAGAAGUAUUACCUAUAACCUUCGCAGCAUCAACCAUUUGUCGUAUAAGUUCUUCAAGCCUUCUGAACAUGCGGAUCAGUGAACCUUCAUAAACAUCAGUCAUUUUGCAGAUUUGAGCAAAAGAGGCUCCAUGUGCCCAAGCAUAAACAACCUCCAUUAGAGAUGGCUUAAAACUAUUAACAUAUUCCUCUUCAUUAAGUUCUUGCUUACUUUCCUUGGAAACUUUAGCAAUCCGACGUGCCAUCUCUUGCAAGAUUUUCAAAGGACCGGCAAGCUCUUCUUUCAUUCUUUGGUUUUCUACUUCACUCUUUUCUUGAAACACCAAGCAACUUAGGAGAGCAGCACAUUGUUCUGGGGUCAAAUCGUUAAACAUACCGUUGAAGAUCAGCUCAGUUAAUAAUAAACCAUCACCGGAACUUAUCUCGCAAGCUACACGGCCCUUAACUUCAAUAACGUCGUCAGAAGUGGUAAAUCCGAGACGACGUAGAACACGCUUACGACUAUUGAGCUCAUCUAAUUGCAUAAUCGAGCGAGCUUUGGAAAGUUUUUUCUUUAGGUCUUUAACCUCUUCGAGUAAGGCUAAUUUUCUCAAAUACUCGGCGUAUUUUUCUUCCAAUUCAGAAAAAUUAUGCAAUGGAUUUGACAACAAUCUUGACUCUAAAAUAUUUACUUUCUUCAUAAGCUUAAUAAAAGUAGGUUCCUUAA